AUGUACCCACGUACACUCCGGUUCCUCCGCGCCGUCCGCACCCACCUGACGGCUGCUCGCUACGUUUUGUUAGCA
rnacentral:sRNA from 1 species